AGGUCAGGCGGGACUACCCGCUGAGUUAAA
rnacentral:rRNA from 4 species